rnacentral:rRNA from 1 species
AUGGCCUCUUCGUCUCUAUCAGCCGUGUUGCUCUUGUGCCUGGCCGUGGCGGCGUCGGCGCAGCUGUCGCCGACGUUCUACGACACGACGUGCCCGAACGCUCUGGCGACCAUCAAGUCCGCCGUGACGGCCGCCGUGAACAAGGAGAACCGCAUGGGCGCGUCGCUGCUCCGGCUGCACUUCCACGAUUGCUUCGUCCAAGGUUGCGACGCGUCUGUUCUGCUGUCAGGCAUGGAACAAAACGCUAUCCCGAACGUGAUGUCACUGCGAGGCUUCGAAGUCAUCGACAGCAUCAAGGCGCAGCUCGAGACCAUGUGCAAGCAGACUGUCUCCUGCGCCAUCCUCACCGUCGCCGCCCGCGACUCCGUCGUCGCCUUGGGAGGGCCUUCGUGGACAGUUCCUCUAGGAAGGAGGGACUCCACCAACGCAAACGAAGCGGCGGCGAACAACGAGCUACCUCCCCCAUUCUUCGACCUCGUAAACCUCACCCAGUCCUUCGGCGGCAAGGGCUUCACCGUGACCGACAUGGUCGCACUCUCCGGCGCCCACACCAUCGGGCAGGCGCAGUGCCAGAACUUCAGGGACAGACUCUACAACGAGACCAACAUCAACUCCGGCUUCGCGACGUCGCUCAAAGCCAACUGCCCCCAGCCGACCGGCUCCGAUGACCGCAACCUGGCCAAUCUGGACGUGUCGACUCCGUACUCCUUUGACAACGCUUACUACAGCAACCUCAAGUCCCAGAAGGGGCUCCUGCACUCCGACCAUGUGCUCUUCACGGGCACCGGUGGCGGCACCGACAACACCGUCAACAACUUCGCAAGCAACCCAGCGGCGUUCAGCAGCGCCUUCGCCUCCGCCAUGGUGAAGAUGGGGAACCUUAGCCCGUUGACUGGCUCUCAGGGCCAGGUCAGGAUCAGCUGCUCCAAGGUGAAUUAA